rnacentral:rRNA from 1 species
UACAGAGGGGGCAAGCGUUAUCCGGAUUCACUGGGUUUAGAGGGUGUGUAGGCGGGCUGUUAAGUCAGUGGUGAAAUCUCCGGGCUCAACCCGGAAACUGCCAUUGAUACUAUCAGUCUUGAAUCUUGUUGAGGUGGGCGGAAUAUAUCAUGUAGCGGUGAAAUGCUUAGAUAUGAUAUAGAACACCGAUUGCGAAGGCAGCUCACUAAACAAGCAUUGACGCUGAGGCACGAAAGCGUGGGGAUCAAACAGG